rnacentral:rRNA from 1 species
UACGGGGGGGGCAAGCGUUUGUUCGGAAUUACUGGGCGUAAAGGGCUCGUAGGCGGCCAACUAAGUCAGACGUGAAAUCCCCAGGCUCAACCUGGGAACUGCGUCUGAUACUGGAUGGCUUGAAUCCGGGAGAGGGAUGCAGAAUUCCAGGUGUAGCGGUGAAAUGCGUAGAUAUCUGGAGGAAUACCGGUGGCGAAGGCGGCAUCCUGGACCGGCAUUGACGCUGAGGAGCGAAAGCCAGGGGAGCAACGGG